UACGGAGGGGGCUAGCGUUAUUCGGAAUUAUUGGGCGUAAAGGGCGUGUAGGCGGCUUCGUGUGUCCCAUGUGAAAGCCGUCGGCUCAACCAGGGAACUGCAUGGGAAACUGCGGAGCUUGAGUCCGGGAGAGGAGAGCGGAAUUCCCAGUGUGGCGGUGAAAUGCGUAGAUAUUGGGAGGAACACCAGUGGCGAAGGCGGCUCUCUGGAGCGGAACUGACGCUGAGACGCGAAAGCCAGGGGAGCAAACGGG
rnacentral:rRNA from 1 species